GUUAGGAAUAUUGGACAAUGGGCGAAAGCCUGAUCCAGCCAUGCCGCGUGAACGAUGAAGGCCUUCGGGUUGUAAAGUUCUUUAGCCGAUGAUUAUAAUGACUGUAGUCGGAAAAUAAGCCCCGGCUAACUUCGUGCCAGCAGCCGCGGUAAUACGAAGGGGGCGAGCGUUAUUCGGAAUCACUGGACGUAAAGCGUGCGUAGGCGGUUUUGUAAGUUAGGAGUGAAAGCCCAGGGCUCAACCUUGGAAUUGCUCUUAAAACUGCAAGGCUCGAAUCUCGGAGAGGAUAGCGGAAUUUCCAGUGUAGCAGUGAAAUGCGCAGAUAUUGGAAGGAACACCAGUGGCGUAAGCGGCUAUCUGGACGAGUAUUGACGCUGAGGCACGAAAGCGUGGGGAUCAAACAGGAUUAGAAACCCGGGUAGUCC
rnacentral:rRNA from 1 species